rnacentral:rRNA from 1 species
GAUAAACGCUGGCGGCGUGCUUAACACAUGCAAGUCGAACGAAGUUUUUCUUUCGGGAGGAACUUAGUGGCGGACGGGUGAGUAACGCGUGGGUAACCUGCCCUGUACAGGGGGACAACAGCUGGAAACGGCUGCUAAUACCGCAUAAGCCCUUAGCACUGCAUGGUGCAUAGGGAAAAGGAGCAAUCCGGUACAGGAUGGACCCGCGUCUGAUUAGCCAGUUGGCAGGGUAACGGCCUACCAAAGCGACGAUCAGUAGCCGAUCUGAGAGGAUGUACGGCCACAUUGGGACUGAGACACGGCCCAGACUCCUACGGGAGGCAGCAGUGGGGAAUAUUGCACAAUGGAGGAAACUCUGAUGCAGCGACGCCGCGUGAGUGAAGAAGUAUUUCGGUAUGUAAAGCUCUAUCAGCAGGAAAGAAAAUGACGGUACCUGACUAAGAAGCACCGGCUAAAUACGUG